CGGGCCGGGCCGGGGGCAAGGUCGGGGUGUCCAUCGCGCUUCCGCCGCUGCAGACCCGCGGCUGCCUCCGCCAAGGGCACGGGGGGACGCGGCAGGCGAGGGCGGGCGGUGCGGGCGGGACGCCCUCGCCGCCCGCGUCCCCGCCGCACGCCCUCCGCGGCUCCGCUGCCUCACCCCGGCUGCGCUGGGAGCGCCUCGUGCGCCGCCCGCCCUUUGGCGCUUCUCCGGAGCGGUUCGAGCUGCCCAGGAGCUCCGCAGGGCUGCGGCAGGGCCGGUGCCGCCGUCUCCCCUGGCUCCGGCCCGCACGCCGGGGCGCGGGUGGCCUCGGGGGACCCGUGGAAGGGCAGCCGCCCCGGUGCGUCAGCGUGCCCGCCAUCGCUGCUCGGUCCGUGGCUUCCCUUCUUCGACAGCGGCCGUGCAGCGAGGGCCGAAUGAAAGAGAUGCGGUAGCGGGACGGCAUCUUGCAGGCGUGGAUGGCUGUCCUUUCCCCCGAGUUCUUGGGUCGUUUGGACUCUUUGUCUUAGCUGGUAAUGGGGAGUGAAGGAUGCUGAUUUUCAGCAGAACUUUUGGCAGCUGAACAUACCUGACCAGAACUACAGCGGUAGAAGAUGAAGUGUUAAACAGGAGUAAAACUUGAAGCUCAUGGGUCUCUCAUUUUGUUUCUGUGAAAUUUAAAUAUCUCUUGAAUGUUUGUACUCCUUGACAAUAGCUUGCUCACCGAAGACUUUAAUACCAAUUACUCGGUACUCAAGAUUUUUAUUAAUAACUUAAAACACCAGCUGUAUAAGUAAAUGGAAUGGCAUUUCUCCAUGUAAGAUUAAAAAAGUAUUUUUUCCAGUUUCACUCUAUGAAAUAUAUUGAAGUGGCAUUUUUUUAAAAAUACUUUUAAACAACUCUGUCCCAGUUAUCUUUUCCUAGGUGUAAAUACUUUCCAUAAGUCAAUACUGAGAGUUAAAACAGUAUUGACGUGUGUUUGCCUUCAUUAGUCUCCCCAUCAGUAUCAAUAUCUUGUCAGUGCUGUAUUCAGGAUAUUUAUGAACCCCCAUGAAUUAGCACGAAAUCUCCUAUCAUGACAAAAAAAAGUCCUCUUUGGAUUCCAAAAAAAUAAAAUAUCUAGCAAGCUGUAUCAUGGGAUUUCUUUGUUGCUGGAAGAAAAAGUUGUCUUUACUGGCAUAGUAGUUCUGUAGAUGGUUAUUUUAUGCAAUUAGUUUUAGUUUAAAUAAAACUGUAUUAAUCUGUUAAUUUGAAGUUAGUUUAUUGGAGACCAGAUUUCUGGAGAUGUGUCAGAUAUGGCCUUACAGCUGACAGUUUUGCUGCUGGUAGCUUGCUACCUUUUAUUUUUUAACAUGUGCCUUUUACACAGUCUUGUUUCUUUGAGGCCUUUUGUUUGUUUGUUAACACUGUUGAUGUAUCUGUAGCCCACUGUCAUAUCCUGUCUUUGCUUUUUUGUCUGUGAAUAAUAUUCACAAUAAACAGUCUUGAAUUUUUCACCUCCA